UUUUUCUUUAGUCCCUAAUUGUAGUUUAUGUGCAUCCUUUAUAUGGUACCAUUCACAGUGCCAAAACAGUCUCAAACUGCUAACAAAAGGAGAGUUUCUGAUUGAACAUAUCCUGGAUUACGAGCUUUAAGAUGAUAAUGGUACGAGUGAUAUGGUUGCUGAAAGAAACAAGAGCAUAUUCCUAUGCGGCUAAUGCAAUAGCCACAUCCAUUUUUACCAUUAAUUGCUAUGCUUUGGCAGAGUAGUCCAAAUUUUUCUGCAUCUGGUCACUCUCUACUGAAUUAGGUUACUACUUAAGAUGCUAUACUCGAAAGCAGUAAUCUGAAAGCUUCAGUUAGUAUUUUCUGUGAAAUCAAGGCAAUGGAUAUGUAAAACAAUUUACCUUCCUUCAUGCAUUGGUUUAAUUUUGUAGAAAGAGGUUGGCACUUAAUUAAUUGAAAAGAAAAAUAUCUCUCAGGUAAAAGCUUAAGAUUUUGCAAGGUGCAAAUGCACAAAAGUUUUUUUUUUUUUUUUUUCAAGAAAGUCCUAUCAACUCUUCAGCAAACCAAACAUGUGCAGAAAUAACAACUGUUCUAAGUACUGGAUAGAACAAGGAGAAAGCAGCAGACAAAAUUUAGGUGCUUAUAUUGUUGAAUGGUGAGGUCAUUUGGCAACUUAUAGACAAUAUGAUAGUGCAAAGUGCUACAUAUUUCAUGGAUACUACAACGUCAGCAGGUUUGUUCCUUUUACCUGCCUUGUGUUGUUUCUCCUGUCGCUGAGACCUGAUGCAUGAAAUUUAAAUUACUUGAAAAUUGGACUCAGAAGCGAGCUUAUAAUCAAUAGAAACAUAAUUAAUGUCUAGUAGUAUCUAUUUACCUGUUCAGCAUUCACAUUUUGUUAUUUCUCACAAUUAUAUGAUGCAUUUUUACUUAUUCGUUCUGCAAUUUUAUUUUGAUGUUUGAGCAAAUGAGAUCUGAUUGAACAUUAAUGGAUAUGCCAUGCUGAUUGUUUACAAUGUACAUGCUUGGUUAUAAGAAGAGGUGUGCUGAAUUGCUUCUCAAGAAAUGAGGAAUCUUAGUUCUUCCAAGUAUUUUGCUCUUUGGGAAAUUGAGUUCCUGUUUUAAGCUUGAAAUGAGAUACAGCGGUCACAGAUAAAAUUUGAUAACAUAGAGCAAUUCAAGAUUGAAAUGAACCAUGGAAAGAUGCAAUGUCGACAUAUUGGAAUGAAAUUUUGCUGGAAAUGUAUGUUGCCUAUUCAUUGGAAUGCUUGUUGUUUAAUGAAGUUUGUCGGUUUCAAUCGCACGGCAAUCUCUGCAUGCAAAUGAAUUAAAAAUUUUCUGACUAAACCUGGAGUUGGUCCACUUCUUUUCUGCUGCAAUUUUAACUCUAGUAUUUGAUUUUCCAGUGCAUCUGUCUCGACUUGAUUCUUUUGCAUCUGAUCUCCCAUUGUUGAUCUGAUCUUGCCACAUGACUGUCUUGGAGCAGGUUAGUUUGCCUGUUUGAGAUUGAUUGGGAGGGAGUGCAAUCACUUGUUUAAGGAGCUGGCCACUUGAAAUAUCGGCAGAGUAACUUUUUCUAGGAGUAGCUUGCCCAAAUUCAAAUUCAGUCGAAGCUGUGUCAGCAUGAGCUAGUUGGUGGACGGGCUCCUCUUGAGGCAUUAAAUUCUGGUUCUGAAUGCAUACCAUGCCUGCAAACGAGAGUGAGUUAUCUGAGAUAUUUUUUUUGGCUGUCAGGCUUAUACCCAAAAAUGGCUUGAUCUGGGUUUCUUCAUCAUUUUAAUGGACUUAAGGUUGAUCAGUAUUUUAUUCUGUUGAAGUGGAUUGCAAGUAUGAUGCUUCUGUACCCCAGCAAAUAUGAGCUGUGAAUUUGUGGGAUGAGCAAUAUUAAUGGACUUGGUGAAGAAAGUUGGUUAAAAUGAGGCAAUUCUGUGAGCGUGAUGCCAAUAAGGGCAACUGAUUAAAAUUCCUUAAAGCUCCUUGAGUUCCGAUAUGCUGCUUCUGAAAAACAGAACUGGAGAUGUUGGUGAAAUUGGAAUUGUCACAUUACCAAGGCACCAUGCCAAAAUGCGUUGUAAAUUAUGCCAGAGUUUUUGAGUGAUCGCAUUGAUAGUGUCCAAGAUGUGUAUAUACGUAGUGGAGUGACUUGAGCAAAU